CAUAUCUUCAGUCAUGGGUAGCAAGAAAUUAAGACGAGUGGGUUUAUCGCCAGAGCUGUGUGACCGUCUGAACAGACAUCAGAUUGUUACCUGUAAGGACUUUUUAUGUCUUUCGCCACUGGAACUUAUGAAGAUCACUGGCCUUAGUUAUCGAGGCGUCCAUGAACUUCUGUGUGUGGUCAGCAGGGCCUGUGCUCCACAGAUGCAAACGGCUUAUGAGAUAAAAGCUCAGAGGUCUGCUGCCCUCUCGCCAGCAUUCUUAUCUACAAGCCUUUCUGCUUUGGACGAAGCCCUGCGUGGUGGUGUAGCUCGUGGAUCCAUCACAGAGAUUACAGGUCCACCAGGCUGUGGGAAAACUCAGUUUUGUAUAAUGAUGAGUGUGUUGGCCACAUUACCCACUGACAUGGGAGGAAUGGAAGGAGCUGUUGUGUACAUUGACACCGAAUCAGCAUUUAGUGCUGACAGACUGAUUGAGAUAGCAGAAUCUCGUUUUCCCAGAUAUUUUAACACUGAAGAAAAAUUACGUUUGACAAGCAGUAAAGUUCAUCUGUAUCGGGAACUCAGCUGUGAUGAGGUUCUACAAAGGAUUGAAUCCUUAGAAGAAGAAAUUAUUUCAAAAGGAGUUAAACUUGUGAUUAUUGACUCUGUUGCUUCUGUGGUAAGAAAGGAGUUUGAUACACAGCUUCAGGGCAACAUGAGAGAGAGGAACAAGCUCUUGGCACGAGAAGCAGCCACCUUGAAAUAUCUGGCUGAGGAGUUUUUAAUCCCAGAAAAAAAUGACUUUUUAAUACAUGCAAGAGUCCACAUACUUUGUAGGCAAUCAAUAUUAACAAAAGAAAAAUCAAAGGAGCCUCCUGGGGAAAGUGACAUUUGAACUGGCUUUGCAAGAAGAAUGAGAGUUUGCUUGACACAGUUGGGGCAAGGGCAUUUCCAGCAGGGGGGCACCAUGAACAGUGAUGUGAGUCAUGGUUGUACAGGUGCACUUAUGUAAAGGAUCAUGUCCUAAUUUCCAACUCUGAAGCGCAUCAGCAGAAUUUUAUAACUGGAGUGUUUUGGACACUCUGGCUGCCAACCUUGCCAGGGGAUUUUACAAGUAUUUAAUGGGUCUGUCUCUGGCCCACAUGCAGUAGACCCAAGCUGUUCAAAAUGGUAGCUAGUAGACACCUGUGGUCUUUUAAUUUGAAUUAAUUGAGAUUAAAUUAAAAAAUUAGUCCUUCAGAUGCACUAACUGCAUUAUAGGUGCUUGGUGGCUACCAUACUGGAAGCACAGAUACGGAGCAUGUCCAUCAUUGCAGAACAUGCUGCUGGACAGCACUGUUAUGGACAGUUAACAAAUGACUAGAUAGAGGACUCUAGCAAAACAUUCACAGAGAAGAAGAGAAUAGUGAAAAAAAAAAAGUUUCCCAAGCUAACAAUGCUUUAAAAAACAGUGGGAAGCAGUUAUGGGAAAUUCUAAUCUAAUCACACUUUAAAAGGCCAGUUAGGCUUUUGUUUUUCUUUAUAGAUGAAAACUUCAGUUUAUUUGACUUGGAUAGGGAUACAAAGCCAAAAGCUUCAUAGGCUUGGGAAAUCACUUUAUGGAUAUAGAUUAAAAAUCAUCUACUAUGCCGCCUCCCUGCCCCCAUUAGCUUGGCUUGCCAAAACAAAUGGAGUCAGCAACUCUGGAUAGCCAGUCCUUGAUCGAGGCUCUGAACCGUUUAGACUGAUCAUUCAUUCGGCUCCCUCAAUCUAUUUACUUGUUCCUAUGCCCAUUUUCUGUUUCUCCUCUCACCGUUCUAGUUCAGGCACCAGCCAGUCACCUAUUUUGUGGGUAAG